AUGGCAAAGGUUUUGAUUACCUCAAAUUCAAAGAGAGAUUUGUGGAACAUUCUAAGUAUUGCCCUCCUCGUCGCUGCAGGAGCCUGGGCCCAGACAGUUACCCAGAAACCUGAUGAGGUUGUGUAUAAACUGGCUCAGAAUGCCUCAAUGGACUGCCAGUUCAUCCACACUCCAGAGCAGCAGGUGGCAAAGAAUCCCAUUCUCUACUGGCAUAAAAUUACAAGUUUGACCCAAAUGACAAGACUGUGGCCUGACCCAGAGUCACCGUACAAGGAUCGUGUGGAUGUUCUGGACAGUGACCGCAACUCACCAAACAGAUCUGUACUUCUGAAGAAUGUCCAGUGGGAGGAUAGCACUGGAAAGUAUGAGUGUAAACUUUCUUAUAGGGCUGCCAAACAAGAUAAGAGGACGAAAGGGAACGGUGUUAAGCUAUUGAUACAUGGUAAUGAUACAAUUUCUAUGCUUUUGCCAUGUUGUCCACUAAUUGCAGUUUUUCAUUUCCUAUACCAGACCAUGUUAUGAUACAAAUGUGUGUGUCUUUCUGUAUGUCUAAAACAGAUUCGAUGUUCUUUGGGCUUGAGAAUGAGACCCAACUCAUGUGUGCUGUGAAUGUUUCCCGGGAUGAUGGGUUUGUCUUAUCCUUGCUACAAGACGGAUCUAAAGUAUUCCAAAAGACCAUUGAUCCUCUUCACCCCAGCAUGUCACUGCCUGUUACCCUGUCUGUGAUCCUCCCCUUGGAGAAGGGCAAGAACUAUGAGUGUCAAAUCCACCUGGGCUCCACCAUGAUAAUGAGCCAGCCCUUCCAACAGCCGCUUGAGACGCCAGGUAGUGUUUUCUCAUUACAUACCUUACAGUUACAGUGUGUCACAUCUACUGAAGACUGCCAAGUCGACUUAUAUCCAGGUUUAUCAUACAGUAUAUAGCCAUUUGUGUCGGUGCAUAGCAAUGAAAUGUAGCUUUCUCUCCGUAUCUGCAAUACCAUUCAAUGACUGACGCCACCCUAUGUCUGCUCCUCUUGUGUUUUUCAGCAUUAGAGAAGGUGCUUCCUGAACCAGCUUUCCUGUUCGUGGCCAUCCUCCUGGUCCCCAUCACCGUGCUUCUGGCUCUGCUCACAGCCCUUCUUGUCUUACGCAGAUAAGACAGGAGAUAGUAAGACUGCUUAGGCCAAAUAUACAGUGCAUUUAGUAUUCAGAACCUUUGACCUUGUCACGUCCUGACCAUUAAAAGGGGUUAUUUGUUAUAGUAGUUUGGUCAGGGCGUGGCAGGGGGUGUUUGUUUUGUGUGUUUUGGGGUUUGAUGUAUGUUCUAUAUUUUAUAUUUCUAUGUUCAUUCUAUGUUCCCUAUCUAUGUUUUGUGUUUCUGUGUUUUGGCCUGGUAUGGCUCUCAAUCAGGGACAACUUCAUUGUCGCUGAUUGGGAACCAUACUUAGGUAGCCCUUUUUCCACCUGUCUGGUGUGGGAAGUUGUCUUUGCGUUGCAUGUGUUUGCACGCAUAGCUUUUCCUUCGUUGUAUUGUUUAUUGUUUUGCUGAUUCACGUUUAAAAUAAAGAAAGAUGAACCCAACUGUCACGACAGUGACGGAUGGUGGCGCCCCUCCUCGGCCGGGCGGAGCUCGGCGGUCGUCGUCGCCGGCCUACUAGCUACCAUCGAUCCCUUUUUGUUUCACUUUCGUUUGGUUAGGUCUAGGUAGGCACGCACCUGUUUUGGGUUAGUCAUUAGUAAGGGGGGGUUAUUUAGGUUAGCGUAGGAUGUAUGUGGUUGUACGUGAUUGUGUUGCUUGUCCGGGUUUUUUGUGUUCGAAAAGAACGUGUACUGAGUUUUUCCUUCUGCCAGUGGUUUAUUUUGUUUGUGUACACCACCGCAGAAUCUUUCAGGGCUGCGCCCCUAUACUUUGUCGACCACGUACAGUGCUUCCAAUAAAGAAGUGUGGUCACGAACUCUCUCUGUCUCCUGCGCCUGACUCUACCUCUCCUGUUCCUCGAGCCAGCCCGUGACACCAACUCACGCUGCGUUACUUACCUUUUCCACAGCCUUAUUCUAUAAUGCAUUAGAUAAAAAAAAAUACUCAUCAAUCUACACACAAUACCCC
rnacentral:lncRNA from 8 species